UGUGCCUACGGGGGGCAGCAGUGGGGGAUAUUGCACAAUGGGGGAAACCCUGAUGCAGCGACGCCGCGUGGGCGAAGAAGUAUUUCGGUAUGUAAAGCCCUAUCAGCAGGGAAGAAGAAAUGACGGUACCUGAGUAAGAAGCACCGGCUAAAUACGUGCCAGCAGUCGCGGUAAUACGUAUGGUGCAAGCGUUAUCCGGAUUUACUGGGUCUAAAGGGAGCGCAGGCGGCACGGCAAGCCUGAUGUGAAAGCCCGCGGCCCCACCGCGGGACUGCAUUGGGCACUACCGGGCUGGCGUGCCGGCG
rnacentral:rRNA from 1 species